CAGUAAUAUAUUAUCUAGGGGCGUUAAAAGACAGUGCGCAGGCGGUAUUUAUGAACAAGACGUGGAUAUUUUUCUCGGCGGUGGUGCUCAUCUGAGAGAGCUGCAUUUGUGACUGUAUAGCUAGAGUACGCAGAGGGGGGAUGGGAAAUACUGUCGUGGUAGCAGUGAAAUGCGUAGAUAUGCGGAGGGAACACCCGAUGGGGGGGGAAGGAAUCCCCCCGGGCGCCUGUACUGACGCUCAUGCACGAAAGCGUGGGGGAGCAAACCAGGAAUUAGAUACCCUGGUAGUUCACGCCCCCAAAAACGAAGUCAACUGGUUGUUGGGUCUUCACUGAACUCAGGUAACGAAGAUAACGCGUGAGAGUUGACCGCCUGGGGGAGUACGGCCGCAAAGGUUGAAACUCUAAAGGAAAUUGACGGGGACCCCCCACAAACCGGUGGAUGAUGUGGUUUAAUUUGAUGCAACGCGAAAAAACCUUUACCCCCCCUUUGACAUGUACGGAAUCCUUUAGAGAUAGAGGAGUGCUCGAAAGAAAAGCCGUAACACAGGUGCUGCAUGGCUGUCGUCAAGCUCGUGUCGUGAGAAUGUUGGGGUUAAAGUCCCGCAAACGAAGCGCAACCCCUUGUCAUUAGUUGUACAUUCAGUUGGGCACUCUAAUGAGACUGCCGGUGACAAACCGGAGGAGGGUGGGAUGACGUCAGUCCUCUUGGCCCUUAUAGGUGAAGGUACACACGUCAUACAUGGCUGGUACAAGGGUUGCCACCCCCGAGAGACCAUCCCCUAGAACGGUCGUGUCCGGAUCGCAUCUGCACUCGACUGCGUGAAUCGUAUCGCUAGUAAUCGCGGAUCAAAUGUCGCGGUGAAAACGUUCCCCGGUCUUGUAGCCCACCCCCUCGCCCCCUCCAGCGGGUUGUUCCUGCGGUAGUUAGCCUAACCGCAGGAAGCGAUUACCACCGCAGCCUUCGUGACUGAGUAAUCUUAACUAAUGCACCAAACAGUUCGCUCUGCUGAUUCAUAUGUUCGCGCUACGA
rnacentral:rRNA from 1 species